AUUGAACGCUGGCGGCAGGCCUAACACAUGCAAGUCGAGCGGAUGAAGAGAGCUUGCUCUCUGAUUCAGCGGCGGACGGGUGAGUAAUGCCUAGGAAUCUGCCUGAUAGUGGGGGACAACGUUUCGAAAGGAACGCUAAUACCGCAUACGUCCUACGGGAGAAAGCAGGGGACCUUCGGGCCUUGCGCUAUCAGAUGAGCUUAGGUCGGAUUAGCUAGUAGGUGAGGUAAUGGCUCACCUAGGCGACGAUCCGUAACUGGUCUGAGAGGAUGAUCAGUCACACUGGAACUGAGACACGGUCCAGACUCCUACGGGAGGCAGCAGUGGGGGAAUAUUGGACAAUGGGCGAAAGCCUGAUCCAGCAAUGCCGCGUGAGUGAUGAAGGCCUUAGGGUUGUAAAGCUCUUUUACCCGGGAUGAUAAUGACAGUACCGGGAGAAUAAGCCCCGGCUAACUCCGUGCCAGCAGCCGCGGUAAU
rnacentral:rRNA from 1 species